AAAAUUCCAUGGUCCCAUUUUUUUCUCAGUCACCCGAACACACCACCAGACACACCCUUGAGUCACAUGGUAGUUUCAACCUAUCACAGCGCUCGAGCGCGUUUUACAAGCUGAGGUGAGUUUCCCCAAUUAGUAGUGUGAGGGGGAAGCCACCCCAGCAGCUGCACUCGUUAUGUCUCUACACAAACAAUGCUGUUUUUGCUUAUUUUCCAUCUUAAAUGCUUGUUUGACUCUAGCAUGCGAUUGUGUAUUUGUAGUGCCCACUACCGUGGUCCUUAGAAGCCGACUGGUGCCGCGGUGUGUCGAAUAUCUGCGGGAAUUGGCCAGGUGAGGCCAGUUGCGGGUCAGUUGAUGGUGAGCUACUACCUGGAACAGAACCUGCCCCAACAACCUCAUCACCCCCUGUGGGUUUGGUAGGAGGCUGUUGCAGCUUUGCUCACCCCCACCACUCUCAUUCACACACGGCCAUUCAGUAAGCCUUGGCUUAUGGACUAUUUGUGUUCCACGGAUCAUUCUCGUCAUUUGGACAUAGCGUUCAUCUUUCAUGAACAAAAGAAAAUGUCCUACAGUGUGUUGUGACUGUCCUUAUAUCUGAGUACUCCUCAAUUUGUUGCUUUUGUUUAUUGUUUCUGUGAACUGAGUCAACGGAACUAAAUUUCCUCAAGUGCACUUUAUCAAAACCAACGUUUCUGCAGAUUGUAAAUAUUUUGGUUUUUUUUUUUUUUAUUAUUUUUUUGUCCUUGUUUCCACAUAAUAUAUGGUACCAACACCAAAUAUAA